rnacentral:rRNA from 1 species
AUUAGAUACCCUAUUAUAAUAAAUUUUAUUGGUUAGUAGAUUGUUGAAACUUAAAAAUUUUGGCGGUUAAUUAUUUUAUUAGAGGAGCUUGUUUAUAGAAUUUGCUCUUUAUAUUUUAUUAAUUUUUGUUUAUUUAUUUCUGUUAAUAAGUUUAGGUUGAUUAAAGUUAACUUUAUAUUUCAGGUCAAGGUGUAGCAAAAAUUUUAUGUAAUUAGCUACAAUUAUAAAGUAUUGGAUAUAAAAAUGUAAGAUUCUAUUGAAACUGAAUUUAAUUGUAAUAAUAGUUAGAAAAUUAUUAUGAAUUAGGAAAAUUAGUGUACAUAUUGCCCGUCACUUCUUUUGUAAAAAAGAAAAAGUCGUAACAAAGUA